CCCCGGGCGGGGCGGAUCCCGCCGCCAGCCCCGCAUUGGCACAGGCAGGCACACCAGCCUGCCCCCCACCGCCGAGGUCGGCACCCUGGCGGGGCUGGGAUCUGGAGCUUGCUUCUGCUGGGCCUGUGGGCCGGGCUCCUGGGAGCCAAGGAGCAGAGGCAGGGUCAGCCGCAGGACCGAGCCCAGGGAGGAACUUUCCUGGCCACUGCUGGCUCCGGAGCCCCCGCAGCAAGAUCUCUGCACUGCUCUGACCUCAGGCCCUGUGCUUGUGGCCCCCACCCCGGGGUGCUCUGUAAGAGCGUUCCUAAUUAGAUGAUCCUGGCAAUCACUCGGCUAAUUCCCUCCAGCCUCCUGCAGCCCUGCCCAGCCUGGGGCAGCUCACCCCACCCCCGCAGUCCAACCGACCCAGCCAGAUGGGCAGUCCGGGCCUUCGCUCCCCUCAGGGCCCUUGGUUCUCUAACUGCAUUACCUUCAGGAUGGAUGGGUGACAGCGAUGGAUGGGCCACUGGAUGGACACUGACAGUCCCCAGGACCCUCCCCAGGUCUGCCUGCCUGGAGCUCAGCACACAUCUGAGUUUUGCUGGAUCAACUAGAGAAGGGCCUAGGUGACUUAUUCGCAAUUAGCCAUUCAGAUCCAUGAAUCUUUCCUGCGCUGGUCUGGGUGUAAGCUGGAAACAGAGCUGAAUUCAACUGUGACCCCCUUCUCUCCACCCACAGAGGACCCUCCCAAUCCCAGGCUACUAGAAAGGGAACAGACACACGCAAACAUGUGAAUGCAGCUGCAACAAGCAUUGAGGGAGAAGUGAUACCUGUCUUGGGGCAUCUGGGAGGGCUGAGCAGAGGAGAUGACAUUCUCAGCUGAGCAGAGAAGGGAGGACUGAGCAGAGGAAGUGACAAGCAGAGGGCAGGGCUUGAAGAGGGUAGUUCCAGCAGGGUCUACUGGGAGGAGUGACAUUGGCCUUUGGUUGUGACCUCACACAGGUGAUAAUCCUGGGUUUAGACAUUGGAUCUCCUUUCCAAAUGAAGUAAAUUGCCCCAUUGGGAAAAAAUAUUUCCAGGUGGGAGGAUGGUGUUUGUCAUGGGACUGUAAACUGCACUUUCAGGCUAGGUACAUUAUAUUUUUUUUUUUUUUUU